AUUGAACGCUGGCGGCAGGCCUAACACAUGCAAGUCGAGCGGAUGAAGGGAGCUUGCUCCUGGAUUCAGCGGCGGACGGGUGAGUAAUGCCUAGGAAUCUGCCUGGUAGUGGGGGAUAACGUCCGGAAACGGGCGCUAAUACCGCAUACGUCCUGAGGGAGAAAGUGGGGGAUCUUCGGACCUCACGCUAUCAGAUGAGCCUAGGUCGGAUUAGCUAGUUGGUGGGGUAAAGGCCUACCAAGGCGACGAUCCGUAACUGGUCUGAGAGGAUGAUCAGUCACCCUGGAACUGAGACACGGUCCAGACUCCUACGGGAGGCAGAAGUGGGGAAUAUUGGACAAUGGGCGAAAGCCUGAUCCAGCCAUGCCGCGUGGGUGAAGAAGGUCUUCGGAUUGUAAAGCACUUUAAGUUGGGAGGAAGGGCAGUAAGUUAAUACCUUGCUGUUUUGACGUUACCAACAGAAUAAGCACCGGCUAACUUCGU
rnacentral:rRNA from 1 species